UGGGGAAUAUUGGACAAUGGGCGCAAGCCUGAUCCAGCAACGCCGCGUGGAGGAUGAAGGUCUUCGGAUCGUAAACUCCUGUCAGGUGGGACGAAGGUUUCAGGGCGAACAGUCCUGGAGUUUGACGGUACCACCAGAGGAAGCCCCGGCUAACUCCGUGCCAGCAGCCGCGGUAAUACGGAGGGGGCGAGCGUUAUUCGGAAUUAUUGGGCGUAAAGGGCGCGUAGGCGGCCGGAUAAGUCAAAGGUGAAAUCCCUCGGCUCAACUGAGGAACUGCCUUUGAAACUGUUUGGCUUGAGGCCGGGAGGGGGUAGCGGAAUUCCCAAUGUAGCGGUGAAAUGCGUAGAUAUUGGGAGGAACACCAGUGGCGAAGGCGGCUACCUGGACCGGUUCUGACGCUGAUGCGCGAAAGCGUGGGUAGCAAACAG
rnacentral:rRNA from 1 species